rnacentral:rRNA from 1 species
GCCAGACUCCUACGGGAGGCAGCAGUGGGGAAUAUUGCACAAUGGGCGAAAGCCUGAUGCAGCGACGCCGCGUGAGUGAAGAAGUAUUUCGGUAUGUAAAGCUCUAUCAGCAGGGAAGAAAAUGACGGUACCUGACUAAGAAGCCCCGGCUAACUACGUGCCAGCAGCCGCGGUAAUACGUAGGGGGCAAGCGUUAUCCGGAUUUACUGGGUGUAAAGGGAGCGUAGACGGGCCAGCAAGUCUGAUGUGAAAACCCGGGGCCCAACCCCGGGAGUGCAUUGGAAACUGCGGGCCUGGAGUGCCGGAGAGGUAAGCGGAAUUCCUAGUGUAGCGGUGAAAUGCGUAGAUAUUAGGAGGAACACCAGUGGCGAAGGCGGCUUACUGGACGGUAACUGACGUUGAGGCUCGAAAGCGUGGGGAGCAAACAGGAUUAGAUACCCUAGUAA